rnacentral:tRNA from 1 species
GGCAGUGUGGCCUGGUGGGUAGAGUACUAGACGGCUACUCAGGAGACCUGGGUUCUAUUCCUGGCUCUGCUA